CGGGGUGAGUAACGCGUGGGUAACCUGCCUCAUACAGGGGAAUAACAGUUAGAAAUGGCUGCUAAUGCCGCAUAAGCGCACAGGACCGCAUGGUCUGGUGUGAAAAACUGAGGUGGUAUGAGAUGGGCCCGCGUCUGAUUAGGUAGUUGGCGGGGUAACGGCCCACCAAGCCGACGAUCAGUAGCCGACCUGAGAGGGUGACCGGCCACAUUGGGACUGAGACACGGCCCAG
rnacentral:rRNA from 1 species